GAUGAACGCUGGCGGCGUGCCUAAUACAUGCAAGUCGAGCGAAAACACGAUGAGCUUGCUCCUCUGACGUUAGCGGCUGACGGGUGAGUAACACGUGGAUCACCUACUUCUAUUACUUGGAUAAUUUCGUGAAACCGCUUCUAAUACUAGCUCAUAUAUUCUACGGCUUGGUUCAAUAGUUCUUCACGGCUUUCCUGUCACUUUUAGCCGAUUUCGCGCCGGAUUAGCUAGUUGGUAAGGUAACGGCUUACCAAGGCAACGAUGCGUAGCCGACCUGAGAGGGUGAUCAGCCACACUGGAACUGAGACACGGUCCAGACUCCUACGGGAGGCAGCAGUGGGGAAUAUUCGGCAAUGGGCGAAAGCCUGACGCAGCAACGCCGCGUGAGUGAAGAAGGUCUUCGGAUCGUAAAACUCUGUUAUUAGGAAAGAAAAAAAGUAGAAGAAAAUACGGACGUCUUGACGGUACCUAAAGAAAAAGCAACGGCUAACUACGUG
rnacentral:rRNA from 1 species